GAUGAAGAACGUAGCGAAAUGCGAUAAGUAAUGUGAAUUGCAGAAUUCAGUGAAUCAUCGAAUCUUUGAACGCACAUUGCGCCCUUUGGUAUUCCGAGGGGCAUGUCUGUUCGAGCGUCAUUUCAACCCUCAAGCUUCUGCUUGGUAUUGGGCUCUUCGUCCUUGCUUGCAAGGACGUGCCUGAAACUCAUAGGCGGUUGUACUCAGCUCCCUUGCGUAGUUAAUUUUUUUCUCGCUCUGGAGGCUCUGGGUAGAACUCGCCUGAAAACCUUUUUUAUUUUCUUAAGGUUUGACCUCGGAUCAGAUAGGGAUACCCGCUGAACUUAAGCAUAUCAAUAAGCGGAGGA
rnacentral:misc_RNA from 1 species